AUGAUUUUAUAUUGUACUAGAGGUUCGACGAAGCCAUCUAAACAGCAAGCGUGCGGUAAGGGAGCGACCCAAGAUGACCCCAGUAAUUCCGGGACCUAUAAUAAGUAUGGCAGAGACGUCAUGGUCGUCAUUUACCACGAGAUCAAAGACGUCAGGCUACUG